rnacentral:piRNA from 1 species
UCCUUCUGUUUAUUCGUGUGCUG